AGCAGCCGCGGUAAUUCCAGCUCCAAUAGCGUAUAUUAAAGUUGUUGCAGUUAAAAAGCUCGUAGUUGAAUUUCGGAGUUCUACCGUCGGUCGGGCUACCAAGUCUGUACUGGUGUGUAGAAUUCCUACCUUCUGGGGAACCAUCAUGUUAUUAAUUUAGCGUGGUGGGAAACCAGGACCUUUACCUUGAAAAAAUUAGAGUGUUACAAAGCAGGCUUAUGUCUGAAUACAUUAGCAUGGAAUAAUAGAAUAGGACGGUGGUCCUGUUUUGUUGGUUUCUGAAUCACCGUAAUGAUUAAUAGGGAUAGUUGGGGGCAUUAGUAUUCAAUUGUCAGAGGUGAAAUUCUUGGAUUCAUUGAAGACUAACUUCUGCGAAAGCAUUUGCCAAGGAUGUUUUCAUUAAUCAAGAACGAAAGUUAGGGGAUCGAAGACGAUCAGAUACCGUCGUAGUCUUAACCAUAAACCUAUGCCGACUAGGGAUCGGACGAUGUUAAAUUUUAUUGACUCGUUCGGCGCCUUA
rnacentral:rRNA from 1 species